AUAAAUCCUAAGUGCGUAUCACAGGAGCACACAGUUGAGAUUUAUGCAACGAAUCUGAGAAGGGGGGGGGGACUCAAUGAAGGAAGGAGGUCAAAGAUGUUUUUUUUACAGGCGUAAGACGAUCACAAGAAACCGAAAUGUCCGCCUUAGUUCUCAGGUUCUCCAGCCCUUGCAUGCAGGGUUUACUGUCGUCGUCUCUGUCUUCAUUUUCCUAUAAGGUUUACAGACAUGAGCGCCCGCACGGGGAUUCUGGGCAG